CGUCAAUAGAGUUACAUAAAAGAUCGUUAUGUCAACAGAAAACAAUAAAGAAUCUCCAACACCUCAAGAUUUAUAGCAGGUGGUAUAAAAAAAUCAAAACUUCCCGGGGAGUUACCGGUGGUUAGAGCGAAUCAGACACGGAGAUGCGGUAGGGGAACAUUUGCUACAUUUCCAACUCGAAAGACAAACUAGUCCAUGUGCUAUGCUGACUUGGAGAGAUCUGCUUCAAGUGUUCAAUAAGUAAUGUGCCCACCUUACGACGAUGUAAGACGAAAUUCAAGACAGGAUACUCUACGCUUCUCCAAACCUAGGCAGCUAUAUCUGGGCUCAAAUGUCUGUGCUGUGCAUUAUUCAUAGUCUUGGUGAAUAUGAAGAAUGCCGGAUAUGAAGAAAAUUGGACGCAGUGGUUGGUCCGUAUGACCGAGAUUUCCCUAAUGCCGAAGAGGAGCUUUAUGUGGGAUAAUGAUGAUACAAAGGGAGAGCCAUGCACAGUGCAACACCUGCUGUUAUCUGAAAAUAGAGGAAAUAAUGUGACUUGUGCACGAGUGUCAAACUCGCGAGUGCUCCGGUUGUUGGCGGUAAAUUAUCAUCAACAAUACGAAUCGUAUUUAGCGCAGUCAGCAAGAGGGUUUCUUUACAGGAAGGACUAAUUCCUAUGAAAAUAUUUUAUAUUUCGUCAGCUCUCUGGCGUGUCGCGCUCAGCCAUUUUUGUGAUUAUUUAGGCUUUAAUUUGUCACUUAAAAAGUCACUUGACUUGUUUCUAACCAAUCAAUGGUUGUUAUAUCUCAUGCAAGAUAAAAUUUUUCUCUAUUGUUAACCUAGUUUUAGCCCUAAUCAUGGAGCGCCUGUGUGGAAUAUUUACAAAACAACCUUUUAUACUUGCACACAAAUUCAUGUUUCUGUUAGCCUCAAGCCUUGUGUGUAUCAAAUAAAUGAAUAAAUAAAGUAGAAAAGACAAUUCAACGACAA